rnacentral:rRNA from 1 species
CAGUCGCCACGGGAAUACGGAAGGAGCUAGCGUUGUUCGGAAUUACUGGGCGUAAAGCGCGCGUAGGCGGUUACUCAAGUCAGAGGCGAAAGCCCGGGGCUCAACCCCGGAACUGCCUUUGAAACUAGGUGACUAGAAUCUUGGAGAGGUCAGUGGAAUUCCGAGUGUAGAGGUGAAAUUCGUAGAUAUUCGGAAGAACACCAGUGGCGAAGGCGACUGACUGGACAAGUAUUGACGCUGAGGUGCGAAAGCGUGGGGAGCAAACAGGAUUAGAUACCCCCGUAGUCCCUGUCUCUUAUAC